UGAGUUUUACUAGGUUCAUUUAGAACCUAACAAGUGUUACAAAAUCCUCUUUUACACUAGUAUUCCCAUAAUUAUCCACAAUGCUUCACCUGAGCCUAUCAAACCAAUCAUACAUCUUCUGUGCCCAGAGUUGAGGGACAGAUGUCUUAUUUCCCCUCUUUCUUCAUCUGCCCAAACAGGACUUCCUGUAGCUCAGGAAACUACAGAUGAGUCACAGGGCCUCCAGGUCAGUGUUCUAGGGGUCAGCUGCUGCUGUAAACAACGGAUGCCCACUCUUCCCUCCUGUCCUGCAAUUCUCUUUUCAGCAUAACCCAGAUAGCAAACGUGCACGCUCUCUGAGUGCAGUGGAUACCUCACAUGCCUCCACUCAGCUCAUCCAAAACAACACACGUGCUGCCCUCUGCAGGCUGGCUACACAAACCAAUAACUGACCUCUCAAUCAGAGAACUUCAAUCACUCCUGAAAAACAUACAGGGGAAGAUAACAUGGAUUCCUCCAAGUUCUUACAACAGAGGCCAGAUGGCUCCCUGACUGAUAUCCAGCGUUAACAUGGUGACCUCCAUCCACGCUCAUCACAGGGACUCAGUGGAAUCAAUCGGAGUGACCAGGAGUGGGUUUUUGCUGGUUAAUUGUGUCACUGAAGAGCAGAAGAAGAAUGCAUUGGGAAUCACAAGAAUGUCAAAUUCUGAAGAAUUAUACUUUGAACUGAAGGAGUAGAGCACCUGUUAAAAUUCAUAGCCGGGGUGUCGAUGGAAGUAGAUAUUGAAUUAUUCAAGAGAAUCCAAGUUGUGGUUGGUGCUCGUCAUCUGAAACGCAUGGUGAAUGGAGAAAAGGAAGAAAGUCUAUUGGUUCUUUAGUUUUUUGAUAAAGAGCACAUCCCCACAGAUAUAAAGUUAGGUUAUGUAAAGUAUGCAGUAAGAGCAUUUGUCCACAAGCUACUACAAUGCAAUAACUUUAAAGGAUUUGGCCAUGUUGCAAAUGUUUGCAGGCGGAAGGAGUGUAUUGAAAAUCAAAGUGAAGAAGGUCAGUGUUGCAACUGUGGUGGGGAUCAUGAUCCAGAGUUAUUGGAGUGCCCCGUAAAGGUGAGAAUAGAAUCUCCUACGGGCAGUCAAAAGAAUUGAGAACGCAAGUGGCGCUAGUGUUGAUGAUAUGAUAGUGAAUACGCCCCAACCAUUAGUGAAUGUUUGUCAAACGAGAAUCGUCAGAAAAGUGUUUGGGCCUGAAAUAUUUCUCAGUGGAAGACCUGCAAGGGUUUAUUUAUUUAUUUAUUUUUUAUUUUACCUUUAUUUAACCAGGUAG